rnacentral:rRNA from 1 species
GACGAACGCUGGCGGCGUGCUUAACACAUGCAAGUCGAACGGUGAAGCUCCAGCUUGCUGGAGUGGAUCAGUGGCGAACGGGUGAGUAACACGUGAGCAACCUGCCCCUGACUCUGGAAUAAGCGCUGGAAACGGCGUCUAAUACUGGAUACGAGAAGGGUCCGCAUGGGCACUUUCUGGAAAGUUUUUCGGUUGGGGAUGGGCUCGCGGCCUAUCAGCUUGUUGGUGAGGUAAUGGCUCACCAAGGCGACGACGGGUAGCCGGCCUGAGAGGGCGACCGGCCACACUGGGACUGAGACACGGCCCAGACUCCUACGGGAGGCAGCAGUGGGGAAUAUUGCACAAUGGGCGAAAGCCUGAUGCAGCGACGCCGCGUGAGGGAUGACGGCCUUCGGGUUGUAAACCGCUUUCAGCAGGGAAGAAGCGAAAGUGACGGUACCUGCAGAAGAAGCACCGGCGAACUACGU